UACGGAGGGUGCGAGCGUUGUCCGGAAUCACUGGGCGUAAAGUGCGCGUAGGUGGCCCGUUAAGUGGCUGGUGAAAUCCCGCGGCUCAACUGCGGGGCUGCCGGUCAUACUGGCGAGCUAGAGCACGGUAGGGGCAGAUGGAAUUCCCGGUGUAGCGGUGGAAUGCGUAGAGAUCGGGAAGAAUACCAGUGGCGAAGGCGUUCUGCUGGGCCGUUGCUGACACUGAGGCGCGACAGCGUGGGGAGCAAACAGG
rnacentral:rRNA from 1 species